rnacentral:rRNA from 1 species
GACGAACCGUGCGAACGUUAUUCGGAAUCACUGGGCUUAAAGCGCGUGUAGGCGGGAAGGUACGUCCGUCGCUGAAAUCCCCCGGCUCAACCGGGGAACGGGCGCGGAUACGGCCUGCCUGGAGGGGCGUAGGGGGACCUGGAACUUCCGGUGGAGCGGUGAAAUGCGUUGAGAUCGGAAGGAACGCCCGUGGCGAAAGCGAGGUCCUGGACGCCUACUGACGCUGAGACGCGAAAGCCAGGGGAGCGAACGGG